CACCUGUUCCAAAUUAGCCUUCACACCUGUGGGAUGUCCCAAAUAAGUGUUUGAUGAGCAUUUCUUAACUUUAUCAGUAUUUAUUGCCACCUUUCCCAACUUGUUUGUUGCGUGUUGCUAGCAUCAAAUUCUAAAGUUAAUGAUUAUUUGCACCAAAAAAAUGUUUAUCAGAGUGAACAUCAAAUAUGUUGUCUUUGUAGCAUAUUCAACUGAAUAUGGCUUGAAAAUGAUUUGCAAAUCAUUGUAUUCUGUUUAUAUUUACAUCUAACACCAUUUCCCAACUCAUAUGGAAACGGGGUUUGUACUUAAUUUUAUAAUUAUUUACAUUUAUGAAAGAGUAAUUCUGUUUGUAAUUGAAUUUUUAGUCAAGUAACGACUAUUAUUAUUCCUUUUUAAAACAGAUAUUCCAAACAUUGUUAAUUGAUAAACUGUUUUAUCAGGAUAUGGUGUAUUUGCUCUUGCAUCAAUUUAAAAAGGUUCUUUUGUGGUCGAGUACCGAGGGAAGUUCAUCUCAAGACAUGAGCGGGACAAGAGACAGAAACCCUCUAUAAAUAUCUUUACUAUUUAUCUGGCAUUAUAUGCUCAUAAUGUUAACAACAAAAAGUGCUGAUAAUGUUAUAAUUAAUAAGUUCUAACAUUAUUUUUAUGUGUUUUGUUGCAGACACCAACUGUUGAUGUUCUAUCUCAACAUUCUCCAGACUCAUGUGAGCGAUAAACCGACUUCAUCCCUCCAACAGGUUAUUACUUGACUAUUUUACUAUCCAUCCAUCCAUCCAUUUUCUACUACCUGUCCCUUUUUUGGGUUGGCGGGGUGUGCUUGAGCCUAUCUGAGCUGCAUUCGGGCGGAAGGCGGAGUACACCCUGGACAAGUCGCCACCUCAUUACACGGCCAACACAAAUAGACAACAUUUACACUCACAUUCACACACUAGGGCCAAUUUAGUGUUGCCAAUCAACCUAUCCCCAGGUGCAUCUUUGGAGGUAUGAUGAAGCCGGAGUACCCGGAGGGAACCCACGCAGUCACGGGGAGAACAUGCAAACUCCACACAGAAAGAUCACGAGCCCAGGAUUUAACUCAGGACUACUCAGGACCUUCGAUUUGUGACGCACAUGCACUAACCCCUGUUCCACUGUGCUGCCCUAUAUCUGCUAAAAACUUGACACAACCUAUUCUUCAAAAGACAUUUAAUCCUUUUAACCUCUCACAGAUCAGUUUAUAUGACAACAUUUUUUAAGCGUACAUCCAUGUUAGUCUGUGGAAUUUACAACUCAUGUUUAGCAAAACAGGAGGUGUUACAGGUCAGCAACAUGAAUUCUAUAUGUGAUCACUUGUCAUGUACUCAUAUUGUUUGAACUAAAAAAGACUUCAGUGUGUUUCAUAUAAGGUCCUCAUAUUUUUCUGAACCACAUUAGUGUGUGUUACAAUGUUUAAUUCAAAGCUUUAAAAUGAGUGUUUCAAUCCAGGUCCUCAUAUUUUCUGAACCACAUUUUAGUGAAUGUUACAUUCUUAAAUAAUAGUCUAAGAGCUAAAACGCUAUAAUAAUCUUUACUGUUUAUGUAGAAUUAUAUGCUCAGAAUAUUAUCAACCAAAAGUGGUUUUUAAUGUUAUAAUUAAUUAGUUCUGACAUUAUAUUUUUGUGUUUUGUUGCAGACACCAACUGUUGGGGUUCUAUCUCAACAUUCUCCAGAUUCAGAUGUGAGCGAUAAACCGACUUCAUCCCUCCAACAGAAACCAACUGUUGAGGUUCCAUCUCAACAUUCUCCGGAUUCAGAUGUGAGCCAUUAACUGACUUCAUCCCUCCAACAGAAACCAACUGUUUGAGGUUCUAUCUCAACAUUCUCUAGAUUCAGAUGACAGCCAUAAACCGACUUCAUCCCUCCAACAGAUUGACAGCAGGACAAAUCGCUGGAAGUGGGUAUGUCUCAAGCUUCUUCCACUUGGUCCACUCUAAAGCGGGCUGCAAAGGGGAAGAAGUGGAAGCAGUUGAAUGACACAUGUUGCAUUUUGUAACUGGCAACAAAGUACCAGGUAAAAAAGAUUGUGAAGCCUGCCUCCAUAAAGAACUAGUAGCUCUACAGGACAGAGAUUGGCUUGCCAUCAAGUACUACAUCCAUAACAGAAUUAUAUUAAAAAAAGGGAAAAAAAAUGUUUUCCCACAUCUUCUGUGGUAGUUUGAGUAUGUUACCAGCAAUUAAAAAAGCAAAAUAAACA